rnacentral:rRNA from 13 species
UGGCUGUUCGCCAAUUAAAGCGGUACGUGAGCUGGGUUUAGAACGUCGUGAGACAGUUCGGUCCCUAUCUUCCGUGGGUGUAGGAUACUUGAGAGGAGUUGCCCCUAGUACGAGAGGACCGGGGUGAACGAUCCACUGGUGGACCAGUUGUUAUGCCAAUAGCAGUGCUGGGUAGCUAUGAUCGGACAGGAUAACCGCUGAAGGCAUCUAAGCGGGAAGCCCCCCUCAAAACAAGGUAUCCCUGAGAGCCGAGGUAGACCACCUCGUCGAUAGGCCAGAGAUGUAAGCGUAGUAAUACGUUCAGUUGACUGGUACUAAUGGCUCGAAAGG